UACGGAGGGUGCGAGCGUUGUCCGGAAUCACUGGGCGUAAAGGGCGCGUAGGCGGCUCGGUAAGUAGGGGGUGAAAUCCUGCGGCUUAACCGCAGGGCUGCCUUCUAAACUGUCGAGCUUGAGCACGGUAGAGGCAGAUGGAAUUCCCGGUGUAGCGGUGGAAUGCGUAGAGAUCGGGAAGAACACCAGUGGCGAAGGCGGUCUGCUGGGCCGUUGCUGACGCUGAGGCGCGACAGCGUGGGGAGCAAACAGG
rnacentral:rRNA from 1 species